UCCCCUCCCUAUCUCUCUCAUUUCCAUUUUCCCCAAAUUAGAGACAAAUCCCUAAAUUCCGUCGCCUGCCUCCUCACUCCACCAGAAUCGAUGCCCCACUCCCCUCCCCUCUCUCGGACCUGUUCACGCCGCCGCCGCCGCCGCCGCCCCUGCUGCGCGUGCGGUGGCUCGCCGUCGCACCUCCCUCUCCUCAUCGCCUGAGCUCUGCCUCAGCCGCUACCCUCUCUCUCGAAUCUGCCGCCGCCGCCGACCCUGUCCAGAGCCGCCGUCUGCCGCCGCCUACGGCGGUGUCUCUCUCUCUCUCCUUCCGAUUCUCCCUCUCUCUUCCCCACUCCCUCUUCCUCUCGCUGCUCACGCCAUCGACGUACGCUUGCUGUCGGACAGCCCGAAUCAAUAUCCAGCAGCCCCGACUGAGCUCGAAACAACCUCGCCGGUAUCCGGCAGCCCCCGAACCAUUCAAAGCAACCCCGAACUCAACUCGAUCACACCCGAACCAGCCCCGAAACGCAAGAUAAGUUCUCGCACUCAAAUUAUGUUCUUUUCGUAGUUCAUUUAGUUACAGAGGGGUGUUCAAUUCGUUGUGUUCGGUUCAUUGUUGAUUGUUAUUGAUUGAAUUACUUGGGUGAGAGUUGGUGGAUGAUAUGUUAUGUAUAAACAUGAUCAAAAGGGGAAGGGUUUUAUACCUCAAAACACGAUAUUGAAUUGUGAAAUUGUGGGACUGAAAGGAGUAGUUUCCUUGGACUUGGCAGACUCGUCUCUAUGAUUUGGGAUGCUUGUUAGAAGAGAAUUAGGCGGCACCCUUGAACUCUCGAUUUCUGCCAUGAAUGGAGCAGGAGUGUAAUCAAGCAGCUACGUGCCUUGAGGGGAAUGAGAAUAAUCAAGCAGCAGCUACGUGCCUUAAAGGGAAGUAAAGUAAUCAAGCAGGAAGUGGAGGAGUGUCAAGCAGGAGGUGGAACAAUUACGUGGCUUGAGGGGGAUGAGAGUCAUCAGGAGGAAGAAGAAGGAAGAAGGAGGUGCAGGAGCAAUAAACAAGAAUUAAUUUAGUUAUUUGGGUAUUCCAUGAAUGGGUUCCAAAAAUUUUGAAGUGGGCUGGGAUUUACUUAUAGGCCCACAUAUGUACACCAUUUUAUUUAUUCUAUUCCAUUUCAUAGUUUUUAGAAAUGUAUAACGGUAGUUAGACUUGUAAAAUAAAAAGUUUGGUUGACUAUGGA